UGGGGAAUCUUGGACAAUGGGGGAAACCCUGAUCCAGCCAUGCCGCGUGAGCGAUGACGGCCUUAGGGUUGUAAAGCUCUUUCACCGGUGACGAUAAUGACGGUAGCCGGAGAAGAAGCCCCGGCUAACUCCGUGCCAGCAGCCGCGGUAAUACGAAGGGGGCUAGCGUUGUUCGGAAUUACUGGGCGUAAAGCGCGCGUAGGCGGACUAUUAAGUCAGGGGUGAAAUCCCGGGGCUCAACCUCGGAAUUGCCUUAGAUACUGGUAGUCUAGAGUCCGUGAGAGGUGAGUGGAACUCCGAGUGUAGAGGUGAAAUUCGUAGAUAUUCGGAAGAACACCAGUGGCGAAGGCGGCUCACUGGCACGGUACUGACGCUGAGGUGCGAAAGCGUGGGGAGCAAACAGGAUUAGAUACCCGGGUAGUCC
rnacentral:rRNA from 1 species